rnacentral:rRNA from 2 species
AGACCCGAAACCCGGUGAUCUAGCCAUGGGCAGGUUGAAGGUUGGGUAACACUAACUGGAGGACCGAACCGACUAAUGUUGAAAAAUUAGCGGAUGACCUGUGGCUGGGGGUGAAAGGCCAAUCAAACCGGGAGAUAGCUGGUUCUCCCCGAAAGCUAUUUAGGUAGCGCCUCGUGAAUUCAUCUCCGGGGGUAGAGCACUGUUUCGGCUAGGGGGCCAUCCCGGCUUACCAACCCGAUGCAAACUGCGAAUACCGGAGAAUGUUAUCACGGGAGACACACGGCGGGUGCUAACGUCCGUCGUGAAGAGGGAAACAACCCAGACCGCCAGCUAAGGUCCCAAAGUCAUGGUUAAGUGGGAAACGAUGUGGGAAGGCCCAGACAGCCAGGAUGUUGGCUUAGAAGCAGCCAUCAUUUAAAGAAAGCGUAAUAGCUCACUGGUCGAGUCGGCCUGCGCGGAAGAUGUAACGGGGCUAAACCAUGCACCGAAGCUGCGGCAGCGACACUCAGGUGUUGUUGGGUAGGGGAGCGUUCUGUAAGCCUGUGAAGGUGGCCUGUGAGGGUUGCUGGAGGUAUCAGAAGUGCGAAUGCUGACAUAAGUAACGAUAAAGCGGGUGAAAAGCCCGCUCGCCGGAAGACCAAGGGUUCCUGUCCAACGUUAAUCGGGGCAGGGUGAGUCGACCCCUAAGGCGAGGCCGAAAGGCGUAGUCGAUGGGAAACGGGUUAAUAUUCCCGUACUUGGUGUUACUGCGAAGGGGGGACGGAGAAGGCUAUGUUGGCCGGGCGACGGUUGUCCCGGUUUAAGCGUGUAGGUGUGUGUUCCAGGUAAAUCCGGUUCACUUUAACACUGAGGCGUGAUGACGAGGCACUACGGUGCUGAAGCAACAAAUGCCCUGCUUCCAGGAAAAGCCUCUAAGCAUCAGGUAACAUCAAAUCGUACCCCAAACCGACACAGGUGGUCAGGUAGAGAAUACCAAGGCGCUUGAGAGAACUCGGGUGAAGGAACUAGGCAAAAUGGUGCCGUAACUUCGGGAGAAGGCACGCUGACA